GCUGCAUGGAUACAAAUUUGACAGGUAGUGUUGUCGUCAUUGUUACAAUAUAAUUUAUCUUCUGUAAUUAGUUCUUUGUAUUAAAAUCAUUCAAUGCUGCUCUGAUGAUGAAUAUAUGAAAUAUAACCAUACAUAGUAAACUAUCUGUAAAUGCAAUGGAAUGACCCUAAAUAGUAUGUGUUGUGUUCGCUUAUUGUUGAACUAUUCAGAACCAUUAUGGAAACUUUUCUUUUUGUGGAGUUGCUUUGGAGUCGCAAAUGAGAAGUCAUGGAACUGGAAAAUAGAAUUGAAGUCUCUGAGACUUAAUGGAUUAGAUUUGGGUGCUUCAAGAGCAAACUUAGGAAAACAUUCUGGGAUUUUUUUUGGACAAUAAGGCUUAUUGAUGAAAAAUGUUAGGCCUCUUUUUUGUCUUUGUUAAAGCCAAUCAUAUUAAGUCAAUGGAGUAAAGAUGAAAUUUUUGAAAACUCUCAUUUACUAGUGUAUGAGUUUGUGCGUGUGCUGCUUUUUUUUUAUUCUUUUUGUUUUCUUGGGUUGAGGGGGUGCUAGGACGAGCAUGUUGAACUCUUCAACCAGAUUUAUUGCCACAUGAAUCAAUCUGAUUUCUUUUUCUUUUCAUGACUUUUGUGGUUGUACAUUUUAGCAUUAACACAGUGUACUACAUG
rnacentral:misc_RNA from 1 species